GUUUCCGAGAGCCCUCCUACUUACUGUCAAGUGAACAAAGUUGGGGCCCACGUGAUCCUCCGAGCCAAUAGCCACCCCGCCUGCGAUUCCCGGAUAAGGAAAUCUGCUCACCCGGACCCCACUCCAGCCAAAGAGUUUUUGAGCUCUGGGAGCCGAGCAAGGGUCUGAAUCCAUUCCUGGGAUUACAAGGUUUUCCACUCUGAGAGAGGAAUAGAAGCAGACGGUCUGCCAGAGAUUCGAAGCCCGCGGCCGCCGGGGUCUGAGAGAUGCAUCCCUUCCAGAACAACGCAGAAUGCCACCAAACUCAUGAGCAAAUACAACAAACCAGGACCAGCCAUUCAACGGCCACAUGCCAGAAGCCUCUGCCCUCUAGAGAUGAGACUCCUGCAGGGUGGGCAGGGAACACUCCUGGCUGCUGGCAACCAGCUCCAGAGACCCUCUGUUUGGGGGGGGGGGCAUUUUAAAAAAAUAAACCAAAUCUGUUCAUUGCCA